GAUUCAUCAUUGUUACCAGCAGAAAGAGUCACGUUCGAGCUUUUCGUUCCUGAAAAUUGAGUUGCAGAUGAGGCGUCUGGUCCUACAAAAUCCCCAUUAUUUUUGCAGGGUAGGAAGGAGUUUGCCAUGGCUUCAGGUACGGCCUCUGUUCUAUACUGUUGUUCCAUUUCCUCCUAGGAAUUUUUGGGUGGAUUUGAUGAUUGUAGGAAGGCAAAA